rnacentral:tRNA from 1 species
AGCGUAGCUCAGUUGGUAGAGCUACUGAUUUGUAAUCAGUGGGUCGGGGGUUCGAGUCCCUUCGCU